UGAGUUAAGAUGACCGCCAGAUGGCAGUAGUGGUACGUUUCCAUAGAAACGUGUACAACAAUCCGGAACAGAUCCGGAAAAGGCUCGAGGAAUGAUGGAGUUUUCACCGGGGAAGAGGAGAAGCGGACUUCCGCGGGAAGUGUGGAAAUGGCUGCAGAGUCUCGAGCUUUCCACUUCACCAAAAAACAUCCGGAGAGAUUUCUCUAACGGUUAUCUGGUGGCAGAGAUUUUCUCCUGGUAUUACCCCGAGGAUUUUUUUCUCCAUUAUUACGAUAAAGGAACAUCGCUCGGGAACAAGCAGAACAAUUGGAGUCGGAUCGAGAAGGUGUUACUGAAACGACACCUCAGCUUGAUGAAGGAGUCCAUUAACGGUACGAUUCACUGCAAACCAGGAGCAGCCGAGACUUUGGUUCAAGAGAUUUACACUCUACUGACCAACAGGAGAAUUCAGAAUGUCCAGGAGGAGGCAGCAGACUUCAGUGAUCAGCGUUAUCAGGAGCAGCUGCCCAUGCUGGCUCGAGCCACGGCGUGUAAAUCCAUCAAAAACAACCUGCGUCUGAGCGAAGAGCUGGCCGAGCCCAACAUCUCCUCCAUCCACAGGAAGAUCCAGAACAUUAUCCACCGGCACGUGGAGCACCGGAGGGAGGAGAGGAGCCAGAACCCUCAACGUUUUAACGUGAAGCCCAUGCUGGGAGAGCAGGCCAUCCGACUACCACCAUCACACACACCACCACCAUCACCACCACAUGAUGACUGAUGAUGACUGAUCCUCUCUGUCCGACUCGACUUUGGAAGCAAAAGUCUCUCAGGAAAAGAUUAAAUAAUAAGCGUAUUGGCAGAAUUUCUAAUCAGACUGAACACUUCAGAGCGAACGAAUCUCCAGGUUGGCAUCAUGACGAGUGUGUACCGAGACUGAAGACAUAUUAAACAUGUGUUAGUCACUUUAGCCUUCAAAUAUCCAGAUGCAGUGAUUUCUGAAAGAUGUCGACCAAUUAAUCAGUUUUGCCGAUUAAUCGAAACUGAUAGUUGAUUGCUGGAAAUAUCGGCCAUACCCGCAAAAAACAACCGAUUUGAAGGAUUGAAGGAUGCCCCACCCAGAGGGGUGUGUCUUACUGCAUUACUGCUGUAUUACUGCUUAUUAACAGGAAAUUACCAGAAUUAAUGGAAGUUUUCAAAUCUCGAAUUUUAAAUAAAAUAUGUUGAAUGUAAGGAUUUACUGCCCCCUCUGGUAGAAAGAUGUCAUUACAAUUAACUUAGUAAACAAAAA